rnacentral:tRNA from 1 species
GCUCUUAUAGUUUAAUGGCAAAAUGUGUCAAUGGUAAUGACAUGAUACAAGUUCGAUUCUUGUUAAGAGCACCA